GCGGGGCAGGCCGGGGGCGGUGGCUGUAAGAGAAUCGUAACAACCUUCUGCUGUAAAUUAAUAUUUCCCGAGAAAGAGUGCAUUUGUUGAGUUGUGUGCGUUCUUUUCUGGUUUUGUUUGUUUUGUUAAGGUUUUUUUAAGCUCUGUGUUUGGAUAUUGACAUCAGUUACCAGGGAAGUGCUAUAGUCGGUUUAGCUGGAACCAGUCGCCUUUUCCGGGACUCUGGGGAUGCAGAUGGACUGAGGCGGCAGUCUCCGAGGUGAUAGAGGUGGGAACCUUCAAGGGAACUCUAAACGUGAGGAGAUGAAUCUACGUGUUAUCAAAUCUGCUGCUCAAAGGGAAAGUCUGUCCCCUGGUGCCACUGAGCUCCCAGGACGGAAGGACUAAAUUUCCUUCUGCCACUCGGGCACCAUCUGGAAGUCUCUGGCAAAGAGGGAAAAUAGCCUUCCCUGAUUAAUUUUUCAGACCAUACCGAGAUAAAACUGAUGUUUGUCCUCCUUGUGUCGUGUCCUUCUGCUGUCCAUCGGUCAGACCGCCAGGCUGCAGUAAUAGCAGAAGAUAAGCACUUUGCACACAAGUGGACGCGGCUGCCAGGCGGCACCGGCUCCCAUGCCAUGCGAUUAACCAGAACCAAACCACUCCCCGAAACGACUUGCAAGGAAGGCAAAUGUUUUUCUAAGAGCUGGGUAAAUUAGAAAUUAGACAGUAGAUCUACAGAGCGCAGGAAUUAAAUAUGAGCCUCUUAUCUGCAGAAGAAUUUUACCUUGAGUCCCAUCAACACUGCUCAUCCCGUUACAGCUGUGUAAUAAGUCACCCUCCCACUGGCGAAACACAGACAAGGAACAUUAUGUUAUUCAGUGAUGACUUAGGAGGCUGACAGCACCUAAUGUUGCAGAAAAUGGUCCUUCUUCCAACCCACUCCUUCCCACCUGCAGGGCUACGGAGGCAGGAGAACAGCACACCAGAGCUGUGGGUAGGGUCAUGCUCGCUGCACUGACAGCCUCUCCUGCCGACACCCUCCAUUCCCAAAAGCAACGGGUAGCAUUUGGCCAGUGACUAGACAAGUCUAUUUUUAGUAACUUUUUUAUGCCAUAUAUUCUAUUCCUGUCACUACAGAGUACUCAUGCAAAUCUAUGUAGGGCUGCUGCUGUUACAAAGCUGCAAUUUCCCGGGCUGCAUUAAUUUUACUACAGUAGAUUAUGACAGACGGAAAUUAUAAUGGUGAAGAAGUCUUCAUUUACACAAAGGGAGGCGUCUUCUGUUAUUUGUAACUGGAAUUGCAGUUCUUGUAAGGCUUAUUCAUGUUAUCAUCUUUUUCUGAUUGCACAUCUGUCAUUUCUUUUACAGUAUUGGUGCUAUUUCCAGAUAACCUUAUUUUUAGAAUAAUGGAGGAAUUUUCAGUCUCAAUUAAGAAGCAGUUCACAUUGGAAAAUAUAAUCCUUAUUGGCAGGAAAAUUGUUUAUGGGUUUUAAAUUCCUUUACAUUCCAGCUCCAUCUCUAUGUAUUACCAUAACCGUUAAGCACUUCCUUGGUUGUCUUGAAGACACCAACUGCUUUCAGAAAUCUUUAUUUAAUAUAUUAAUCUCCUCUCAAUCACAUUACAUAUACUCAAAGUUAUUGCCUUUGUUAUUUGUCAGAGGUUGCUACCCAAUAAGUAUUAUAUUAUUAUUAAAUAUCUAUAUCAUAUCUAAAUAUGUAGAUCACUUUCUUCUGUAAAAUCAUUUCAUUUGUUUACUAAUGUUAGUCAAAUGGUAUUUGAAUAAACUUCUAAUUUUUUUUUA